CAGAGGUGCCAAGCGUUAGGCGGAAUCACUGGGCUUAAAGCGCGUGUAGGUGGCGGCCUAAGUACCUUGUGAAAUCCUGCGGCUCAACCGCAGAACUGCUUGGUAUACUGGGUCGCUUGAGCCAUCCAGGGGCAACUGGAACAAGCGGUGGAGCGGUGAAAUGCGUAGAUAUCGCUUGGAACGCCAAAGGUGAAAACAGGUUGCUGGGGAUGCGCUGACACUGAGACGCGAAAGCCAGGGGAGCGAACGGGAUUAGAUACCCCGGUAGUCCUGGCCCUAAACGAUGUCCACUAGAUCAUGGGACCUUUGACGGGUUUCAUGGUCGAAGCAAAAGUGCUAAGUGGACCGCCUGGGAAGUACGGUCGCAAGGCUA
rnacentral:rRNA from 1 species